UACGGAGGGUGCAAGCGUUAUCCGGAUUCACUGGGUUUAAAGGGCGCGUAGGUGGGCUAGUAAGUCCGUGGUGAAAUCUCUGAGCUUAACUCGGAAACUGCCGUGGAUACUAUUAGUCUUGAAUCUCGUGGAGGUAAGCGGAAUAUGUCAUGUAGCGGUGAAAUGCUUAGAUAUGACAUAGAACACCGAUAGCGAAGGCAGCUUGCUACACGAGUAUUGACACUGAGGCACGAAAGCGUGGGGAGCAAACAGG
rnacentral:rRNA from 1 species